ACCCGCUGAAUUAAGCAUAUCAAUAAGCGGAGGAAAAGAAACCAACAGGGAUUGCCUUAGUAACGGCGAGUGAAGCGGCAAAAGCUCAAAUUUGAAAUCGGCCACCAGGUCGAGUUGUAAUUUGUAGAUUGUAUCUUGAGAGCGGAUUAAAGUCUGUUGGAACACAGCGCCUUAGAGGGUGACAGCCCCGUAAAAUCUAUUCUCAUUGUAAGAUACUUUCGAAGAGUCGAGUUGUUUGGGAAUGCAGCUCUAAGUGGGAGGUAAAUUCCUUCUAAGGCUAAAUAUUGACGAGAGACCGAUAGCGAACAAGUACUGUGAAGGAAAGAUGAAAAGCACUUUGAAAAGAGAGUGAAAAAGUACGUGAAAUUGUUAAAAGGGAAGGGUAUUGAAUCAGACUUGGUGCUGUUGUUCAACUGUGUUUCGGCAUAGUGUACACAGCAGUACUAGGCCAAGGUGGGGUGUUUGGGAGUGAAAAAGAAGUUGGAACGUAACUCUUCGGAGUGUUAUAGCCUACUUUCAUAGCUCCUCAGGCGCCUCAGGACUGCGCUUCGGCAAGGACCUUGGCAUAAUGAUUCUAUACCGCCCGUCUUGAAACACGGACCAAGGAG
rnacentral:rRNA from 1 species